rnacentral:sRNA from 1 species
GAAUGGAGUGCGUCGUCGGCAUGUCGCCCCCGCCGAUGGCGCGCUCCGGGGGACGGGCUUAGGCCCGUCCCCACGGAUACCUUCCGGUGGAGAAUGCCCCCCUCCGUUGGAAGGCGCGGCGGGCGGUGAGGUUCCCCCAGCCUCACCGCCCGUUUCU